UACGGAGGGUGCUAGCGUUGUCCGGAAUUACUGGGCGUAAAGCGCACGUAGGCGGCUUUGUAAGUUAGAGGUGAAAGCCCGGGGCUCAACCCCGGAAUUGCCUUUAAGACUGCAUCGCUUGAAUUGUGGAGAGGUAAGUGGAAUUCCGAGUGUAGAGGUGAAAUUCGUAGAUAUUCGGAAGAACACCAGUGGCGAAGGCGACUUACUGGACACAUAUUGACGCUGAGGUGCGAAAGCGUGGGGAGCAAACAGG
rnacentral:rRNA from 1 species